rnacentral:tRNA from 1 species
GGUGUCAUGGCUUGGUGGUAGAGCACUUGCCUACCAUGCGUGAGACACUGAGUUCAAUCCUCAGCACCACCU